AUUGAACGCUGGCGGCAUGUCUUACACAUGCAAGUCGAACGGUAACGGGCCUUCGGGUGCCGACGAGUGGCGAACGGGUGAGUAAUACAUCGGAACGUGCCCGAUCGUGGGGGAUAACGAGGCGAAAGCUUUGCUAAUACCGCAUACGAUCUACGGAUGAAAGCAGGGGACCGCAAGGCCUUGCGCGGACGGAGCGGCCGAUGGCAGAUUAGGUAGUUGGUGGGAUAAAAGCUUACCAAGCCGACGAUCUGUAGCUGGUCUGAGAGGAUGAUCAGCCACACUGGGACUGAGACACGGCCCAGACUCCUACGGGAGGCAGCAGUGGGGAAUUUUGGACAAAGGGCGCAAGCCUGAUCCAGCCAUGCCGCGUGCAGGAUGAAGGCCUUCGGGUUGUAAACUGCUUUUGUACGGAACGAAAAGCCUUCUUUUAAUACAGGAGGGUCAUGACGGUACCGUAAGAAUAAGCACCGGCUAACUACGUG
rnacentral:rRNA from 1 species